UACGUAGGGGGCAAGCGUUGUCCGGAUUUAUUGGGCGUAAAGAGCGUGUAGGCGGCCAUGCAGGUCCGUUGUGAAAACUGGAGGCUUAACCUCCAGACGUCGAUGGAAACCGUAUGGCUAGAGUCCGGAAGAGGAGAGUGGAAUUCCUGGUGUAGCGGUGAAAUGCGCAGAUAUCAGGAAGAACACCCGUGGCGAAGGCGGCUCUCUGGGGCGGUACUGACGCUGAGACGCGAAAGCGUGGGGAGCGAACAGG
rnacentral:rRNA from 1 species